UACAGAGGUCUCAAGCGUUGUUCGGAUUCAUUGGGCGUAAAGGGCGCGUAGGCGGCGUGGUAAGUCGGGUGUGAAAUCUCAGAGCUCAACUCUGAAACUGCACUCGAUACUGCUCUGCUUGAGGACUGGAGAGGAGACUGGAAUUCACGGUGUAGCAGUGAAAUGCGUAGAUAUCGGGAGGAAGACCAGUGGCGAAGGCGGGUCUCUGGACAGUUCCUGACGCUGAGGCGCGAAGGCCAGGGGAGCAAACGGG
rnacentral:rRNA from 1 species